CCCUUAAACAAAAACCAUGCAAUUAAGUUUGUGAAAUUUUUGGUAUUAGGGAGCAUUUUAGGUUGAUACUUAAUUAUUCCAAUCAACAUGGCGGAAACUGAAUCAAAACCUUCUUCUUCUUCUUCUUCAUCUUCGAAGAAACCAAUUAGUGCAGAAGAAGAAGAACAAGAUUGGAAAAGGGAACUGCCACGUAAGUACUUGGCUGAUGAGAAUAAUGUUUGGAAUGAUGACGAUUUUAUCCCUAAAGCCUCUUCAGUUGAGCACCGUGAUCAAUUUCGCAAACUAUAUGCCAGAUACUUCCGACAGAUUCUUCAAACUGAUGUAAGUAGUCUUUACAUAUUCUAUUGCUUUAUUUAAUCGGAAUUCUGCUUUGACGGCUUUAGAGAUAAUGGGUUUCGACAUUGACGUCUAUCCUGGUGAUGCUAAGGCAGCCCCAUAUAUACCAUAUUUGGAUUUUGAGCAAGAAGCUGAUAUGCUGAUGGAGCUAGCUAACCACGCUAUAGCGGAUUACAACAAUAAGGAAACCAGUGUUUACAAGUAUAAGGUUGCUUAUCUUGAAAAAGUGAACUUCAUUUUGGCUGAAUGUCGUGAAUUUUUCAUGACUGUUAAAGUUAUUAAUCAGACUCUGCUUACACCACUGGAAACUUUUCAAAUCCAUGCAUAUAAAGGACAACCUGAGGAGAAUGUUGUCCGCCUUUGCAGAAAAAAGAUGAUGAUAUGAGCCUAUGAGGACUAUUUUGCAUUUGGUUUAUCUGCUAAGCUUAAUUGGAGGAAGAAGCAUCACACGGGGCAAAGAAAGAGACAGUUGGAACUAUAACUUUCUAAAUCUUAGAUUAAAGCGGUUAUUAUAUUGACUUCUUUAUUAGUUGUAGAAGUAUUUGAUAAAUUAGCCUAAAAAAUUACUGUAGUAUAUUACCUACACUGUUCUAGUUUUUAUGGAAUGUAUGAUUAUUCACUCA